GACGAACGCUGGCGGCGUGCUUAACACAUGCAAGUCGAGCGGUAAGGCCCUUUCGGGGGUACACGAGCGGCGAACGGGUGAGUAACACGUGGGUGACCUGCCCUCAGCUCUGGGAUAAGCCUGGGAAACUGGGUCUAAUACUAGAUAUGACUCCACGGUGCAUGUCGUGGGGUGGAAAGCCUUGUGCGGCUGAGGAUGGGCCCGCGGCCUAUCAGCUUGUUGGUGGGGUGANGGCCUACCAAGGCGACGACGGGUAGCCGGCCUGAGAGGGCGACCGGCCACACUGGGACUGAGACACGGCCCAGACUCCGUACGGGAGGCAGCAGGUGGGGAAUCUUGCGCAAGUGGGACGAAAGCCUGACGCAGCGACGCCGCGUGAGGGAU
rnacentral:rRNA from 1 species